AAUUAAAAAAGUUUGGCGGUAAUAUAGCCUUAUUAGAGGAACCUGUAGAAUAAAUGAUAUUCCACAAAAAUCUUACUUAAAUUAGUAAUUUCAAUUUAUAUACCGCCGUUAAGAUUUAUUUAAAAGGAUGAUUUCAAAAAAAUAAUAAUAAAAAUUCAGGUCAAGGUGUAGUUUAUAUUUAAGUUCUUAUGGGUUACAAUAAAAGUAUUUAAACGGAUGUUAAUUGCAAUAUUUAAUAUGAAGGUGGAUUUAAUUGUAAAAUAAUAUAAUAAAGGUUUUUUGAAUAAGUACUAAAUUAUGC
rnacentral:rRNA from 1 species